UUCUGAAAAACUGAGGAAUUUGAAAUUACGCUCGCUGGGUCACACACGACGCCGCCUCCCUUACUGCUUAACACUCGCGACGCCGCUCUCUCGCCAUUUUCACUCUCUCGCGAUUCUCACUCACGAUUUCGCUUUUUCUCGCUCGUCAUCCUCGCUCUCUCACUCAUAAUCCUUGCUCUCUCCCUUUACUCAGUGUUUUAACGUAGAAAAUAAAGAAUUUAUGAAAAAGAGAGCGGUAUUCAUUCUUCUAUGCCAUUCUGCAUCUCAACUGCUUUGUUCUUGAAGCUAGAGGAAGGACACAAGGCAGGACACAGAAAUUUAAAGUGAGCAUAUUGUGUUGUUUUAGGAGUUGAGCACAUGUGGCAUACAACAAGGUAUGCAAUUCCUGAAACUUCCCCGCCUUCUUAUGCCACACAUUGGGAGGAUGCAUUAUAAUUCGCAGCCAUUGCCAUCACAAAGUUCCUACAAAUUUGAUAGUAUUGAUGAUGCUGUGGCUUUGUUUCACCACAUGGUCAAUAUGCAUCCCCUGCCAUCGAUUGUGGAAUUCACCAAAAUCUUAGGAAUGAUUGCUAAGAUGAGAUACUAUGCCACUGCUAUUGAUCUCUAUACCCAAAUGGAAUAUAAGGGUGUUGUGCCAUUUACAGUUACUUUUAACAUUUUGAUCAACUGUUUCUGCCACAUGGGUCGAAUGGAUUUUGCUUUCUCUAUAAUGGGUAAAAUUCUUAAGUGGGGUUGUCGACCAAAUGUUGUAACUUUUACUACACUAAUGAAGGGGUUGUGUGUUAAUGCUAAAAUGGUAGAUGCACUAUACGUCCAUGAUGAAAUGGUUGCAAAAGGGAUUCAAUUUGAUGAAGUUCUGUAUGGAACCUUAAUCAAUGGGUUAUGUAAGAGUAUGACAGGAAAGACAAGAGCUGCUAUUCAGCUGCUUCAGAAAAUGGAGGGACAGUUGGUUAGGCCCAAUCUUGUAAUGUACAAUACAGUUGUCCAUAGUCUGUGCAAAGAUGGUCAUAUAAACGAGGCACGUGUUUUGUGUUCUAAAAUGAUUGUUCAGGGAAUUUUUCCUGACAUUUUCACUUAUAGUUCAUUAAUUUAUGGUUUGUGUCGUGCAGGCCAACAGAAAGAAGUUACAUCAUGGCUGAAUGGGUAUUGUGUAAACAAUAAAGUUGAUGAGGCAAGGGAAUUAUUUAAUGUGAUGAUUGAAAGAGGUGAACAACAUGACGUUACUAAUUACAAUAUUAUGAUGAAUGGAUAUUGUUUAAACAAUGACGUGGGUGAGGCAAAAAACUUAUUUAAUAUGAUGAUUGAAAGAGGGGAAGAACCUGACAUUAUUACUUAUACUAUUUUGAUGCAUGGAUAUUGUUUGAAUGAUAAAGUGGAUGAAGCAAGAAGAUUAUUUCAUGUGAUGAUUGAAAGGGGUUUGGUGCCUGAUGUUUGGAGCUAUAAUGUCUUGAUUAAAGGUUAUUGCAAGAUUAGUAGAGUGAAUGAAGCUAUGCAUUUACUUGAAGAAAUGUUUCUUAAGAAUUUAGUUCCAAAUAUUAUAACUUACAAUUCUGUAGUUGAUGGCUUAUGCAAAUCUGGGGGAAUCAUGGAUGCAUGGAAGCUUGUUGAUGAAAUUUAUUAUUGUGGUCAACCACCUCCAGAUGUAACCACUUACAAUAUUUUGUUAGAAUCUCUAUGUAGAAUUGAGCAUGUUGACAAGGCAAUUGCAUUAUUUAAACGCCUCAUCUUUGAGAGAAGUUUUGCACCUAACGUUUGGAGCUACAACAUCUUGAUUAGUGGUUGUUGUAAGAAUAGAAGAUUGGAUGAAGCCAUGAAUCUUUUUAAUCAUAUGUGUUUCAGGAAUUUGGUUCCUGAUAUUGUAACCUACAAUCUCUUGUUAGAUGCUUUAUGCAACGGGCAGCAACUUGACAAGGCAAUUGCAUUAUUAAUAUACCACACUGUUGACCAAGGUAUUAGUCCAAAUUUGCAUACAUACAAUAUAUUGAUUAAUGGGUUGCACAAAGGUGGGAGGCCAAAGACUGCACAGAAGAUUGCUCAGUAUCUUUUCAUUAGAGGCUAUCAUCCAGAUGUCCAAACAUAUAUAAUCAAUGAGCUUUGUAAAGUUGGAACGUUAGAAUAAAGUAAGGCCUUGCUUUUAUAAAUGAAAGGCAGAUUGCCUUCCUUUCAUAAUUGUGGAGUCAGUUAUUCAUUUCCUGUAGGAGGAAAAAAGUGAAAAUGAUGAAGCUAAGAAGCUUUUUUGAGAAAUGAUCACUAGAUGUGGGGAAAACAUGAAGGAAUAUAUUGUUAGAAAACGCAGAAGCUGUCUUUGCAGCAUGUGAUGCUGCUCAUGAAAGAUGGUCAAAACUUGGGGUCCGACUGUCCGUGCAAUUCUCCAUCCUAGUUUGAAAUUACAGGAGUUUCUAACCAUAUACAAUAUCACCCAGGAGUUCAUUACUGCUAUAGAAAAAAUAGGUGGGAGAUUGGGAUACAGCAUCUGUGGCAUGCUGCAAUCACAGGCCAAGGCUUUUGUUGAAUUUCAGCAUGUAUCUUGAUGUCAGAGUAAGGCAGUGCUUGACCAAGAAACCUGGGUGGAGAUAGGUGUUCCUGAUGAAUUUCAUUAUUAAUAUGCUUUUUACAUCUGAUGCAUUGACUUCUGAGAACCUUAAUGGCACUGAGGAUGAUAUCUCAAUCGGUUACAAUGGUGUGGUGACUAAUAAUGAUGUUCUGCCAACGGCAGACAGUGCACAGUCAAGUGCUGAACAACAAAUUACACGGGCUGAUUCCAUUGAAGCAUCUAUGAAAUAUGAAUAGUGAAGCAUCAGAUAGUUCCAAACCCCCGAUAGAUUCAAUGGAACCAAAUAAAACAUGGUAGGAUUUCGUCAGCCCACAGUAACAAUCUCAAGAAAGACCAUAAAAAAUCUGCAUCUCAGGCUCUAUUACAAAGGUGUUAGUUAUCGCAUGGUUAACUGUGGCUUAAUAUUGCUCAAGAUGUUGUCGGAGUACAUUGAUAUGAACAACCUUUUGCCAACAUUAUCUUCAGAAGUUGUUCACCGUGUAGUAGAAAUCUUAAAAGUUUUCAACAGAAGAACAUGCCAACUUGUGCUUGGGGCUGGUGCUAUGCAGGAGCAUAAACACAACAGUCAACAACACCAACCAAGCCUUAUUCUCAUUGAAUAGUGUCAGCUACAUGGAUUGUAGCACAAUUGUACUCAAUCCAGUAUCAGAAUUCAUGAAACAUAAAGUAAUUCAAAACUUCAAAUCUUUCUAGCCUUGCACCAUAUCUUUUGUGAUCUCCCUCUUGGCCUCUCCCGUUCCAUGAAAGGGUGGCUGUUAUGAUGUCAUGUAUCAGACUAUAGUAUGUCAUUUUACAUGCCCAAACCAUCUUAAAUGACCUUCAUGA